rnacentral:rRNA from 1 species
AUUACGUCCCUGCCCUUUGUACACACCGCCCGUCGCUACUACCGAUUGAAUGGCUUAGUGAGACUUUCGGAUGUGUUUGGAGCCGCUGGCAACAGUGACACCUUGCGCAGAAGUUAUUCAAACUUGGUCAUUUAGAGGAAGUAAAAGUCGUAACAAGGUUUCCGUAGGUGAACCUGCGGAAGGAUCAUU